rnacentral:rRNA from 1 species
CCUACGGGAGGCAGCAGUGGGGAAUAUUGGACAAUGGGGGGAACCCUGAUCCAACCAUGCCGCGUGUGUGAAGAAGGCCCUCGGGUUGUAAAGCACUUUCAGUGAGGAAGAACGCCUGGUGGUUAAUACCCAUCAGGAAAGACAUCACUCACAGAAGAAGCACCGGCUAACUCCGUGCCAGCAGCCGCGGUAAUACGGAGGGUGCGAGCGUUAAUCGGAAUUACUGGGCGUAAAGCGCGCGUAGGUGGCUUGAUAAGCCGGUUGUGAAAGCCCCGGGCUCAACCUGGGAACGGCAUCCGGAACUGUCAAGCUAGAGUGCAGGAGAGGAAGGUAGAAUUCCCGGUGUAGCGGUGAAAUGCGUAGAGAUCGGGAGGAAUACCAGUGGCGAAGGCGGCCUUCUGGACUGACACUGACACUGAGGUGCGAAAGCGUGGGUAGCAAACAGGAUUAGAUACCCUAGUAGUC